UUGAAUAUUUUUAAUCAGAUAUAAGAUAUAAUAUAAUAUAAAUAAUAUCAAACAAACUGCACAAAAUAUUUUGCUUUUAUCUUCUUUUAUACAUCUUUUAAAAUUUACUUUUCAUAUUAUUUGUACAUACUUAAAUGUGAUUUAUGAAAAGAUAAAAAAUUCCAAGAAAAAUAUAUGCUUUAUAAAUGCAACAUUAAAAAUAAAAUAUCUCUUAUAGAUUAAAAAAUAAUUUACUAAUAGAAAUAAGAAAUCAUUAAAACGUUUAAAAAGAUUUCUAAUUGUAUCGCUAUACAUCUAUAAACUUAACAAGUAUUUUAUAUAAAAGGAUUAAUUUUUCAUAGAUUCUUCAAAUCUUUAUAAAAUCAACUGUCUAUUAUUCUUGAUCCAGCCACGCUUUCAGUAGUAUCGUUGCGCCAUCUAUAUCGUGCAUCAAUAAAGCAGAAAUUGCUGAUGCGGUUCAUAUAUGGCAAAGAUAUAAAUGUCAAUAAGUUAGGAAACUUUAAAAAAAAUUUUUUUCUCCGAAAGAGCUAUUAUGAAAUAAAUAUCCAGAACAACUACAAUAGUGUACAGUAGUGCUGUCAUGAUAAGAGUACAAAUUAUUAUUACAGUGUGUCGCUUAAGUCAGUUGUUAUUAUAGUCAAAAUAAAAAAUUUUGAACGGAAUUAUAUAUAUAAUAUACAAUUAGAUAUAAAAAUUUCUGUUAUAUUUCUAGUUAUAAUAAUGAGUGUACUCUAAAAGUAUAUUUUCUAGUAUACAAAUAUUGUUUUCGUCUUUAGGAUUAUAGUAAUUGGUUUAAUUAUGAUACCAAUUGAAUUUUUUUCAGUUUACAGGAGUAAGAAAAAUGACGAAGAAGUGGAAAUGUAUUUUUAUGAAACAAUUCAAAAAUGGAAUUUCCUGAAUCUAACAUAUUAUAAUCGUAAUUCUAAAAUAUAAAAGAAACUGUUAAUUUUUUUAUUUUCUCAAUUGCUCAUUGAUCAUUUUUAAAAUAUGUAGAGAGGUAAGAUAUUGUUCCUACAAUAUAUACUGGAACAUAAGACACAUAAGUUAUAAACAUUUAAAUAAUAUUUGUAUAACAAUUUUAUUGUUAGAUUAACAAUAUUAUAAAAUAAAUAUUAUAUAAAUAUUAUACAAAGAUUUUUUGAAGGCAUUUGUUUGGUCAAGUGUUCUAAAGGUCAAUUGCUAUAAUCAACUUAUGAGCACAGAUUAUUACACAGAAAAAACUAUUACGUUCACAGUAUAUUAUGAACAUAGAUAGAAAAAAUAUAAUACGCAUUCAUGGUCUUUGUCAAAUAAUUCAAAUUUUUGUGGUGAUAUUAAUUCUAGAAUGUAAAAAUAAUUUUAGAUUUGUUAUUGCCACUUUUACCUAACAUCUAAACACGUUAUAUUAACAAUUUUGCUACAGGAAGUUUUCCUUAAUUAUUCAAAAUUUCCUAAAGUAUACAAAAUUAAUAAAUACUGGUGCUAAAAAUUAAUAAAUAUUA